rnacentral:misc_RNA from 1 species
ACAGGCUUAAUGAGAAAGUCAGCCGCACCUUUUAACAUGCACUUCAAAACCAAGCUAAUUGAAUUGUGUGAAGACAUCAUUAUGACAGGAAUGUUUUUGCAAAUGUCAUGCUCCAUGACCAAAGUAAGCAGUGCAUAUCCUGAUAUUGAUGGCAGCUCUACUUCUGUUAAUAUGAGAUCUAUGUUAUGGGGUCUACCCUUUAAGGCCUCCCAUGCCAUUAAUCCAUCAGGAACAGCUACUACUAUGUAACUGCAUUUCCGAAGAAGCGCAGCGAUAAUCUGGCGCGUAGAAUCAUCGGCCUCAACCAGUAGAACUCUAAGCACCAUUCUUGGAAGAAACUUCUCCCACAGAACCACCUCCGAUGAGUCAUCCUUAUUCUCUGUUUCUUUCUUCUUCUCUGCCUCCUCCUCUGUCCGCAACUGCACUUCCAUCCCUCCUCCGCUGCUCACACCCCCAUUCUCAAACACGCUCAUCCUUAACGAGAUUACAAAAUAUGUAUAUGAGAAGUCCGCUGAAAUUAUAGUGUAAAAUAAAGAGAGAGAAAGCAAAACCGCCUCCAAAUCGAUAUCCAACUUUCUCUCACAACCGCGAAAACCGCUUAAAAUAUCUUUG